AAGUCGUAACAAGGUUUCCGUAGGUGAACCUGCGGAAGGAUCAUUGCUGAAUUUAUUUUCAAUCCUUUCACACACCUGUGCACUCUGGCGCGAGGGGAGACCCUCGCGUGUUAUUAUACCCACGCCUGUCGUACGCAUGCGAAAAAAAAACAAAAGUUUAUAAAAACAUAACUUUCAACAACGGAUCUCUUGGCUUUC
rnacentral:misc_RNA from 1 species